UGGGGAAUAUUGGACAAUGGGCGAAAGCCUGAUCCAGCAACGCCGCGUGAGGGAUGACGGCCUUCGGGUUGUAAACCUCUUUCAGUAGGGACGAAGCUAACGUGACGGUACCUACAGAAGAAGCACCGGCCAACUACGUGCCAGCAGCCGCGGUAAUACGUAGGGUGCGAGCGUUGUCCGGAAUUAUUGGGCGUAAAGGGCUCGUAGGCGGUUUGUCGCGUCAGGAGUGAAAACUCGGGGCUUAACUCCGAGCCUGCUUCUGAUACGGGCAGACUAGAGGUAUGCAGGGGAGAACGGAAUUCCUGGUGUAGCGGUGAAAUGCGCAGAUAUCAGGAGGAACACCGGUGGCGAAGGCGGUUCUCUGGGCAUUACCUGACGCUGAGGAGCGGAAAGUGUGGGGAGCGAACAGGAUUAGAUACCCUGGUAGUCCACACCGUAAACGUUGGGCGCUAGGUGUGGGAC
rnacentral:rRNA from 1 species